ACGCUCGACACCUACGGGAAGCAGCAGUGGGGAAUAUUGCACAAUGGGGGAAACCCUGAUGCAGCGACGCCGCGUGAGCGAAGAAGUAUUUCGGUAUGUAAAGCUCUAUCAGCAGGGAAGAAACUGACGGUACCUGACUAAGAAGCACCGGCUAAAUACGUGCCAGAGCCGCGGUAAUCUGAGCGGGCGUGGCAAGGC
rnacentral:rRNA from 1 species